rnacentral:lncRNA from 1 species
UGGUGCCUAAAGCUGAAUGCCCGUUUGCGCAGGCGCAGUGUGCAUCACCCAUUGCAUUGUGGGUAAGAACGCUGAGGAGACUUGCGUGUGUCUCAUUGUGCCUGUAGAACGUUGAGCCCUCGGCAGUGUUGCAGAAGGGCUUCCAGCGGCAGAGGUGACAUGGACAUGCAGGCCUCUGAAAAUGAUGCAGCUGGUGAAGACUGGGCAGACGAUAUUGUUGGUGAGUCAGGUGUCCCUGGAUCCGCUGAGAGGUACGCCUCUGCAGGAGUAGCGGGUGCGGCUCCCCAACAACUUGAAGAAGAAGGCGCUGUUGCCAUGGAACAUUCACAGGAUGAAGGGAACAUACAGGCCCAAGGGCAGGGUGGAGAUGGCUCAGCCUCGGCCUCGACAUCGGCCUCAGCUGGAGGCUCUGAGAUUGAAGUGCUGAACUUCGAACUCACAGUGGAUUUCUCGGAUUCUGUGGAAGAACAUAUUUCUGAAUCUCUUAGAGAUGAAGUUUACGGGGAGCUGUCCGUGAGCGAUGGUGAUCUGAGCAUUGUUCUUACUGCAGGCGAUCCCACCCUGCUCGAGUAUUAUAGGGAGUCCGUGCUCAGGACCCUGACCACGAUGAGGCAGAACUAAAAUGGACUGAUGUAUCCGUUAUGCUACACACUUCAGGUGUAAAAGAUAUGAGAAAAUUUUGAAGUUUCGUCCUUGGACUUCUAACCCUAUGAAGUACAACCUUCCCUAGGUCCUGAUUCCUACGUGCUGGUGUUUACAAGGGCCGUGAUUGGCUCUCCAGGCUUCCACUGGUGCAUAAAUAUGUAGUAAAGCAAAAAUAAAACUGAGUCAUUAUUCCAUG